rnacentral:rRNA from 1 species
UGGGGAAUAUUGCACAAUGGGCGCAAGCCUGAUGCAGCCAUGCCGCGUGUAUGAAGAAGGCCUUCGGGUUGUAAAGUACUUUCAGCGGGGAGGAAGGGAGUAAAGUUAAUACCUUUGCUCAUUGACGUUACCCGCAGAAGAAGCACCGGCUAACUCCGUGCCAGCAGCCGCGGUAAUACGGAGGGUGCAAGCGUUAAUCGGAAUUACUGGGCGUAAAGCGCACGCAGGCGGUUUGUUAAGUCAGAUGUGAAAUCCCCGGGCUCAACCGGGGAACUGCAUCUGAUACUGGCAAGCUUGAGUCUCGUAGAGGGGGGUAGAAUUCCAGGUGUAGCGGUGAAAUGCGUAGAGAUCUGGAGGAAUACCGGUGGCGAAGGCGGCCCCCUGGACGGAGACUGACGCUCAGGUGCGAAAGCGUGGGGAGCAAACAGG